AACGAACGCUGGCGGCAUGCCUAACACAUGCAAGUCGAACGAGAACUUCGGGUCUAGUGGCGCACGGGUGCGUAACGCGUGGGAACCUGCACUUAGGUUCGGAAUAACUCUCCGAAAGGGGUGCUAAUACCGGAUAAUGUCUUCGGCCCAAGGAUUUAUCGCCUUUGGAUGGGCGCGCGUUGGAUUAGCUUGUUGGUAGGGUAAUAGCUUACCAACGCGACGAUCCAUAGUUGGUCUGAGAGGAUGGUAAGCCACACUGGGAGUGAGACACGGCCCAGACUCCUACGGGAGGGAGGAGUGGGGGAUAGUGGACAGUGGGCGAAAGCAUGAUCCAGCAAGGCCGCGUGAAUUAUGAAGGCCGUAGAGAAGUAAAGUUCUUGUACCCGGGAAGAUAAUGACAGUACCGGGAGAAUAAGCUCCGGCUAACUCCGUG
rnacentral:rRNA from 1 species